rnacentral:rRNA from 1 species
CUUAAAUGAAUUGACGGGACCGCACAAGCAGCGGAGCGUGUGGUUUAAUUCGUUGCUACACGAAGAACCUUACCUGGGUUUGACAUAUAAGUUGUAGGGAACUGAAAAGGGACCGACCCUUCGGGGAGCUUAUACAGGUGUUGCAUGGCUGUCGUCAGCUCGUGUCGUGAGAUGUUCGGUUAAGUCCGCUAACGAGCGCAACCCUCGCCGUAUGUUACAAGUGUCAUACGGGACUGCCGGUAAAAAGCCGGAGGAAGGUGAGGAUGAUGUCAAGUCAGCAUGACCUUUAUAUCCAGGGCUACACACACGCUACAAUGGUCUGUACAAUUGGUUGCCAAGCCGCGAGGCGGAGCCAAUCCGUAAAGCAGGCCUCAGUUCAGAUUGCAGUCUGCAACUCGACUGCAUGAAGCCGGAGUUGCUAGUAACCGCAGGUCAGCAAUACUGCGGUGAAUACGUUCCCGGGUCUU